rnacentral:rRNA from 1 species
UACGGGGGGUGCGAGCGUUGUCCGGAAUCACUGGGCGUAAAGGGCGCGUAGGUGGCCUGUGGAAGUCUGCGGUGAAAGCCCGGCGCUCAACGCCGGGUCGGCCGUGGAUACUCUCGGGCUCGAGCUCACUAGAGGCAGAUGGAAUUCCGGGUGUAGCGGUGGAAUGCGUAGAGAUCCGGAAGAACACCGGUGGCGAAGGCGGUCUGCUGGGGUGAUGCUGACACUGAUGCGCGACAGCGUGGGGAGCAAACAGG